GGUGGCGGUGGAGGGGAUUCACUAAGUGUGCCCGCUUUGCUCCCUCCCAGCACGAAGGGCUCAGUGUUGUCCUGCUCCACCCCGGGCUUGGCUGUCCAGCUCUUGUUGCCCCGACUAUCUUCCACGCUUAAAAUCCCAUCAAAAUGACAGGAAAAGCAAAGGGAAAGAACCUACAGAAGGAAUGGUAACCUUCCAGCCAAAAAUCCCGAAAGCAGUGUUUUUUUUGACUCCCAAUGCAACAAGUGACCCUUCUCUAGUGACUCCCGAAACCAAGCCGCCCGCAACUCGGGGGUUCAUCUCUCUUGCGCGCGAGCAGCACAGCAGGCUGGACACACCAGCCUUUUCCCCAACAGUGACCCGAACGGUGGCUCGGGUUCGCUCCUUUCUAGCCCCAAGCCUUGAGGAAAAUCCACUUGAGACUUUUCCCCAUCUCCAGAUUUCCGACGGUCGAUAUCCGCCUCCAUCCAGCCCAUUUCCAAGUUUCCUGAAGGGCAGGGAGGACGUCUAUGAGUUGGGUGUAUGAGAGCCUGCGUGUGCAAGGGAUUUUAAACGUUUCCUCUCUCUUCCACUUCCUCGAUAUGUGUCCUGAGCUUUAGGUGUCAACUCACAAAUGGGAUCAAUAAUCCUUGCUGUUUCACCAACUCUGUCAUGAAACCCUAGAAAAUCGUAUCUAUUAAAGGGCUUGGGAAAUUGUUAAGUGCCCGACCGGUUGAAGCCGCGAGUUACCUCAGAGGCCAAGGCAGCCACAUCUGCAAGGGAGUUAGUUCUGUGCGUCCAAACAUUGAUUGGUGCGUCCCACCUAGGCCCCAUGCGCAAGACCCGGACCAGCGGCCACUGUGACAAACGAGGGCAGCCCGAGUCCCACAGGUGAGCCGCCCCCGGGAGCAGCCGCGCCGCGAGAGGCCGGGCGCCGCCACCGCCCGCAUUCGCCUUUCCACUCCAGGAGGGAGACGCGAGGCGUGGGAGAGCGCGGAGAGGCGCGGCGAGCCUGGGAGCGGGAGACGGCGCCAGGAGGCCGGAAGCGGACCAGACAGCGGGAGAAGCCCGGCAGGUGGACAAGAGGAGACAAAACCCAAACAUCCCACCCUCGAAGUCGCCAGGAGCCGAGCGAAGUACGGAGCGAGUUAGCCGUCUUUUCCCCUUCCCGUACGUCUAGACUAACCCCUCUGGCGCCCUAAGCCAUUGUCCGCCCGCGGUGACUGGCUGCAGAGCGCGCCGCUGAGAGACUGCAACUCUUAGGAGCCCCGCGUUGGCCCCAUGGCGGGAGCGGAGGGCGCUGGGGAAAGAGCGGCGAGGAGACUGCGGCUGAGGCGACGUUUGCGCCAACUCUACCGCCGCGCGAGCGAGCCGAGGCCAGCAGGAACUAUAGACCCGGCAUGGAGUGCGGAGGGGAGGGGGGAGCCAUAAAAAAGCCAAAGCCCUCGACUCGCAAGCACGCCCCCCUCCUCUCCGCGGCGCUUUGGUGUUUCUGGCGAGUGCCAGGCGGCGGCGCGUCCAAUCGCAGCCCGGCGCGGGCGCGGGGUGACUGGCGGCGGAGCGCGCAGACCCAGCUCCCCGCGUCCUCUGGAGAAUAGACUCGCGAGGGAGGGCGGGCGGCCGGGCACCCCUGCUGAGGUCGGGGGUGCUCCUUGUUGCCCAGAGCGGGGCCGAGGAGCCCUCUCCGUUUUCCUAAUCCUUUUCCCUGCAUCAGUGCAGCCACCCCAUCCGCGUUUGUCUCUCCCAACUUUUCCACGGAUGUAUUCUACUUUCUGUGCUGUCUGCUUCUGCUCUUCUGAAAAACUCAUCCCAAUCGAAGAAAAACUGAAUAAGUUAAUUAAAAAAAAUAUGAAUGCGUGAAUAACCAAACCCUCUUAGGUAGAUCACAAAAUAAAAUGUUAUUUGUACUAAUAAUCAGUUAAGAUUCUGUCGAUUAAUCCGUAAUUGGCGAUUGAGAAUGUACAACUUGACUCCCUCCAUCGCCUUAGUUUGCGACUUAAAACAAGACAUGAGUAUUAAAGGGAACAGGAUUAAGUUCGAAUGUGUCACGCAUCUCAGCCUAACCUUGAUCUCACUAUGGUGCCCUGCCUGGUAUCGAACUCCUGGGCUCAAUCAAUCCUAUCGCCUUAGCU